AUUUCAAGGCCCAAGAGAGCACUUGCUCUGUCAGAUUUCAUGCAAAGACUUGAUUCAGUAGUCUGACAAGCAUGGUUCUCUCUCUUGUCUGAGCU
ensembl:miRNA